GUUGGGGUUGUUUUCUACAGUGUGGAAGCUUUGUUUUUUUUCCUCUUUGCAAUCAAUCUAGCUGCUGCUCACUCUUUGGGUCCGCCAUUGCCUUUAUGGGCUGUUAACGCUCACCGCGAAGGUCUGCAGCUUCCCUCCUGAAGCCAGCGAAACCACGAACCGACCGGGAGGAGCGAAUAACUCCAGACGCGCCACCUUAAUAGCUGUAACAGUCACCUCGAAGGUCCGCAACUUCACUCCUAAGCCAGCGAGAUCACGAACCCCACCAGAAGGAAGAAAUUCCGAACAUAUCCGCACAUCAGAAGGCACAAAUUCCGGACACGCCGCCUUUAAGAACUGUAACACUCACAGCGAGGGUCCGCGGCUUCAUUCUUGAAGUCAGUGAGACCAAGAACCCGCCAAUUCCGGACACACUAUGAUCAUACCACUGCACUCCAGCCUGGAGUACAAGGGCUUUACUCUAUGGCCCAGGCUAGAGUGCAGUGCUGUGAUCUUGGCUCACUGUAACAACCUUCACCUCCGGGACUCAAGCAAUCCUCCCACCUCAGCCUCCCAAGCAACUGGAACCACAGCAACGGCCAAUUAGGGCAGCUCCGGCUUGCCUCCCAAGGCGAUGCUCCCCUCCUCCAGCAAUUACUACCUGAAGACGGCUUUAUUUCCCUGGCCUUGCAAACCACCCAAGGACUGCGUUUGACCGGUUGACCUUCUUUGACAGCAAAUUCCUCUAGCUGACCACAAGUCACAUGAAGAAGUUAUUUCCUUUUAUUUGUUCUAAAUUUCCUUUUUAAACUGUUGGCCUCCUUCAAGGGUAUAACUUUUAAAGGAGAAAUUAAUACAAUUGUUGUUUUGUUGUGAGCAGGAAUAGUUAGGGAAU
rnacentral:lncRNA from 10 species